GCAGUUGAGCAACGUCAACGGUCUAAGGCACUGUGUUCAGGUCGCAGUCUCCCCUGGAGGCGAGGGUUCGAAUCCCUCUCCU